UUUUUGGUCGACUCCUCCUCUCCCUGUCCCUGGGGAACAACGCGAGGAAGGGCUCUUCGAGUCGCACGAAUACCGUGCGCACACAUAGGGGCCGAGCAGGCGACGCCAAUACCGCCUUCCCUGCCCCGUGAGCUGCUUGCUGCAACGAAGGGCUCGGAUAACAAAAACUCCCUCCGUGCCGCCUUUGUUCUCCCUCACUGUUCCGCUGCGCCCUGGACGCGGUUCUGGCUGGGCUCCUACACCCCGCACUGCGGCGGCGGCCGGGCUCAAGGAUUUGGGGCAAAUCUCAACCUCGCAAAUAAAGCGUAAAGCUACACUGAUCCAAACGAGUUGUAAAGGAAGAAGAUUUUCCAAGUAGACCCUGAGAGGCUGACCCCACCCUACGGUCACAAAGAGCCGGAGAAAACAUUCUUACCAUAGUUGCUGUUUUGUGGCUGCCGAGCAGAUGGCGGAGAGGAGGAGGAGAGGUUGUUGCUUCUUACAGCGCGACUCUUAGGCGGUCGAUGUAAGAGAACCUGCGGCACAUGGGCGGAUGCGGCUCCCUAUAUACAAUUCGGUCACCAUGGGGAUGGGCUGGGGCCUUUUCCUGUUGGUCCAGACCCCUCAAUCUGCCCAGAGAAGCCACGACAGAAGAGUGGUGAUUGGUGCAAGCGACAUGGGAUGAGGGUUCAGCACUGAUCAAGGUAUUGAGUGAACUGGCUGGCUCUCACUAAGUAUGGCCUUUAAAGACUAUCUACUGCAUUCCCCUUGGCAAAAUUUCAAUGGAGGUGCUUUACCCAAGUCUACUGAUGGAAUCUGACAUUUGGAAAAAGGGGACAAAACUUGAAGAGGCUCAAAGGCAUCCUGAGAAGAGAAGAAAGAGAAGGAAGUGUAAAAGACAGUAGGAACCAGAGCUCCAUGGAGAAAUGGCUGAUUCUAAGACUAGGAUGGUAGGGCUUCCCUGGUGGUGCAGUGGUUAAGAAUCCGCCUGCCAAUGCAGGGGACACGGGUUCAAGCCCUGGUCCAGGAAGAUCCCACAUGCCGCAGAGCAGCUAAGGCCGUGUGCCACAGCUACUGAAGCCCACGCACCUAGAGCCCAUGCUCCGCUGCAACAAGAGAAGCCUCUGCAAUGAGAAGCCUGCACACCGCAAGGAAGAGUAGCCCCCGCUCGCCGCAACCAGAGAAAGCCCAUGCACAGCAACGAAGACCCAACACAGCCAAAAAAAAAGACUAGGGCAAGAAAUAUACAAGAUGAUCCUGGAGCAUCUUGUAGUGCCAGAAAGUAAUAAAGUGCUCAAGAAACCCCACAAUGAUGGGGUUAUGUCAAAGGGACACAGGAGUGGACCGAAAGAGCCCAAUGGCCAAAGCUGGAGCAAUCUGAGCACAAAUAAAUAAAGUAAUAUUGGAUUAAAACCCAGGAUAUAAAAUCAAUAUCUGAUAAUUGAAUGAAGGAGAAUAGACAAAAUUCCUAUGCAGAAGAAUUCCAAAGAAUUUAUGUAGAUACUCCUCCCUUAAGGAGAUGGAAUAUACCUUACCACUCCUUAAGUGUGGGUUGUGCAUAAUAACUUCCUUCCAAAGAGUACAGUAUGAAGAGGGAGGAGAGGAGUACCUUUACAGUGGAAAAACCUGACAAACAUUACCUCAGCCUAGUGAUCAACGUUAACAUCAUCGGUGAUAAGUCAUGUUGAUAGCAUGAACCUCUGUUACAAUGUGAUGAGAACUGCAUUUUACCACUGUGGUCUUCCUCUUCAAGCCCCACAGUCCCAGGGUAAUCAUGAGAAAAACAUCAGACAAAUCCCAAUUGUUGCACAGUCUAUAAAUAUCCGACCAUAACUCCUCAAAACUGUCAAGGUCAUCACAAAGAAAGUCUGAGAAACUGUCAUAGCCAAGAAAAGUCUGAGGAGACAUGUUGACUAAAUGUAAUGUGGUAUCAUGGAUGGGAUCCUGGAACAGAAAGAGACAUUACAUAAAAGCUAAGAAAGUCUGAGUAAUGUAUGGACUUCAGUUAAUAAUAAUGCAGCAAUAUUGGUUCAUUAAUUGUAACAAAUAUAUCAUACUAAUGUAAGAUGCUAAUAAUAGGGGAAACUGUAUGGUGUAUAUGAGAUUUUUCUUUAUACUAUCUCUACAAUUUUUUCUGUAAUCUAAAACUAUUCCAUAACAAAAAAGUUUAUUUUAAAAAAAUACAAUUUCCUACUAAAAAGAAGCAGAGCUUUUUGGAGAAAUGGCUAAUUCCUUAUCUGGGGAAUAAAAUGUACAGUAUGAGCCUGAGAUAUCUUGUUAUUCCAGAAAGCAAGUAAGUCCUCAAAAAAUUAGUUGGAUUGUGUCAAAAGGACACAGGAGCUAACACGAAGAGACUCUUCUUGGUAAAAAAUCGGACACCAUAAGCAUUCAAAAGAACAAUUACUGCAAUUGAUGGAAACACACUGGUCAUAUUUUUAAAAUCACGAUUUCAUGAAGAGAUUUUACAGAGAGAAAGUGAGAAACAUUCAUCGCUAUAUUCUGAAAAUUGGCAAUAUAAAGGUAAAGAAUUAAGCUUUAUCCUAUCUUUUCCAUAUAAACUAUGUUUCAGGCAACCAAAUAGCACUUCUUUACAAAAUAAUUUUAGCUGAUAAAUGUAGGGGAAAGUCCAGGAUUAGAAAAUCACUCUUGCAACUCACUGUCACAUCAUUGCUUCAGGCAAAGAUCACCAAAGGAUGAUACAAUUACAAGAAAGACUGAUGGGGAAUUUUACAAUGGAGGGCUCAGAUAGUCACAGCCUGAACCUACUGAUGAGUCUUAGUGUCACUAACAGUUGAGUAACCAGAAAUUGUGUGCUUUCUGAUGUGGUGCGGUAUGAAGCACACAGCACUACCUGUGAUCUAAGCAAGCAUUAGCACUGGCUUAAGAUUUACAGGAAACAUGGAGGAUAGAGGGACAAGUUAAAAGAACCAUUAAGAAGCAAAUAAACAAGAAUGGCCCACAUUCUUUUAAUUAUUCAACAGGACAAUGGCAUGGAGAUAAAGGGGAAAAGAAAUGGCUUUAGAUGAAAAGAAAUGAGACAUAACCAAAAUAAUGUGUUCCCCUUAUUUGGAUUCUAGUUGAAACAUGCUGAUUAUAAAAAUGAAUUUUUUUAGAUAAUUAGGGAAAUCUAAAAAUGGACCAAGGAAUUGUUAUAAAUUUAUUAGGUAUGAAAAUGGCAUUGAGGUUAUGUAAGAAAAUGUUCAUAUUUGUUAGAGAUGGAUAUUGAAGUAUGCAGGGGUGAAAUGACAUGAAGUCAACUUUAAAGUAAUAAAUCAAAAAUGAGAAAGGGAUAGAUGAAGCAAGUGUUGCAAAAUCUUGAUAAUUGAAGUAUCUAGAUGAUGGGUAUAUAGCAGUUAAUUAUACUAUUCUCUCUACUUUGGAAUUGUUUGAAAAUAAUCAUUGACAUUUUUGAAAAGCAAGUUGCAGAAGACCUACACCAUAUUCCAUUUUUGUAGCCAGUGUGGUGGGCUCUAUGAUAAACUGCCCAGAUCUCCCUUUACUGAGGGCUUGUUGCCCCAGCUGCUGGGUGUGCUGUUGGCAGAUGCCCUCAGCUGUCAGCCGCUUCAGAGACUGCCUCAGCUAUAGAGAACUGCCUCGCCCAAAGUCAUGCCACUUCCUGAGGUGGCUAGGUCCAAUGACUGACUGAUAUGGCAGUAUAAAGCCCUGACCAUCUCAGCCCAACUUAGUACAACUCUGAAGGGCCAUUCUUGCUCCAGAGAGCUCUGUGGGGUUGGCUAAGGCAGCUGUGGGGCCUGCAUGACAACUUGACAUCCCUCUGUCUAAUCCUGCCUGCUUCCUUUCCCCCACUUCCCCAGAUGUUGAUCCCAAGGACAAGCCUCAAUAAACACUGUGCAUGCACUAUUUACAAUAGUCAAGACAUGGAAGCAACCUAAAUGUCCGUUGACAGAUGAAUGGAUAAAAAAGAUGUGGUAUAUGUAUAUACAAUGGAAUACUACUCAGCCAUAAAAAAGAAUGAAAUAAUGCCGUUUGCAGCAACAUGGAUGGACUUAGAGAUUAUCAUACUAAGUGAAGUAAGACAGAGAAAGACAAAUACGAUAUGAUAUCAUUUAUAUGUGGAAUCUAAAAUACGACCCAAAUGAACUUAUCCAUGAAACAGAAACAGACUCACAGACAUAGAAAACAGACUUGUGGUUGUCAAAGGGGAGGAAGAGUGGAGGAGGGAUGGACUGGGAGUUUGGGGUUAGCAGUUGCAAACUAUUAUAUAUAGAAUGGAUAAACAAGGUCCUACUGUAUAUAGUACAGGGAACUAUAUUCAAUAUCCUGUAAUAAAGCGUAAUGGAAAAGAAUAUGAAAAAGAAUGUGUGUGUGUGUGUGUGUAUAACUGAAUCACUUUGCUGUACAGCAGAAACUAACACAACAUUGU